CUAUGCGCCUUGCCAGCCCGCUCAGGUGUGCCAGCAGCCGCGGUAAUACGGAGGAUGCGAGCGUUAUCCGGAUUUAUUGGGUUUAAAGGGUGCGUAGGCGGUCCGUUAAGUCAGCGGUAAAAUUGCGGGGCUCAACCCCGUCGAGCCGUUGAAACUGGCAGACUUGAGUUGGCGAGAAGUACGCGGAAUGCGCGGUGUAGCGGUGAAAUGCAUAGAUAUCGCGCAGAACUCCGAUUGCGAAGGCAGCGUACCGGCGCCAGACUGACGCUGAGGCACGAAAGCGUGGGGAUCGAACAGG
rnacentral:rRNA from 1 species